rnacentral:lncRNA from 1 species
GUUUACACACAUGCCGACUUUUUGUGGUGAAAAAUGGCCGUACUUUUGGCACUGUGGCACGGCACCGUGGAAGCAUCUCUGCCGAAUGGGUAAAGGGUCACCGUUGUGUUGAGGACUCUCUCCUCACUCUAGCUGUUACCAGUGCAAGAGGAUCUCAGCCAUACUUUAUCUUCUGCUCGCGGCAUACUGAAAACAAACGUUUAGGAUCGUUUUCAACCGUGAAGUGGCGGCAGAUAUGGAGAAAACGUGGAAAGUCCGCUCCGGGGUUCCCGCUCUACGAGGUCUUGGGAAGUAGUCGACUGUAGAGUGGCGAAACUCGUGUCCUCAGAAAAACAGGAGAUCGAGUGAAGAAUCCACGAGCGAAUGUAUAAAUGUACGAUCGUAUAAUGAAGGUCUAUUCGGGAUUACUGUGCACAGUCACCCAAGCCAGUGUGUUCGGAUCCAUAUGCAGCACACGCAGAGAUGGGCAGAGCCCUUUGAUCAUCCGAGGAGAGAAACACUCGUUGAGAAACACCUUCGUUACAUGCCACCUUUGCUCGUGAGAACGGGCAUGGGCGCUGCCUUGGACACAGGCAUCGGAGGCGGCACGCUCUUCUUCGAUUUACACUGAGUCCUGUACUUGGUCUCGUAGCAGGGGUAGGAUUGCUGUUUCACAUCAUCGCGGUAGCAAGUCUUGUUGACAGUGUAAGACUGCGUGGAGCACUGGUUUUCCAUAACGGUUUUGGAGCACUUGUAAGCCUCUUUGGAGGGGACGUUUCUGUAGCAGGUCUUGUCGACUUCGAAUGGAACUUUCUUGCACUCCUUCCUGGGGCAAGAGUACUCGAC